UUGCUUCAGCAGCACAUAUACUAAAAUUGGAACAAUACAGAGAAGAUGAGCAUGGCCCCUGCUCAAGGGUGACAUGCAAAUUCAUGAAACAUUUCAUAUUUUU